ensembl:misc_RNA Y_RNA Y RNA
AGAUGGUCAGAAGGUAGUGAGUUAUCUCCAUUGAUUGUUCACAGUGAGUUAUGGAUUGAAUUCCUUGUUCUAUUCUUCCCCCUCUUUUUACUACUGUACUUGUCUAGUCUUAAA